UGGGGAAUAUUGCACAAUGGAGGGAACUCUGAUGCAGCGACGCCGCGUGAACGAAGAAGGCUUUCGAGUCGUAAAGUUCUUUUAUAUGGGAAGAUAAUGACGGUACCAUAAGAAAAAGCCCCGGCUAACUACGUGCCAGCAGCCGCGGUAAUACGUAGGGGGCUAGCGUUGUCCGGAAUCACUGGGCGUAAAGGGUUCGCAGGCGGAAAUGCAAGUCAGGUGUAAAAGGCAGUAGCUUAACUACUGUAAGCAUUUGAAACUGCAUAUCUUGAGAAGGGUAGAGGUAAGUGGAAUUUUUAGUGUAGCGGUGAAAUGCGUAGAUAUUAAAGAGAAUACCGGUGGCGAAGGCGACUUACUGGGCUCAUUCUGACGCUGAGGAACGAAAGCGUGGGUAGCAAACAGG
rnacentral:rRNA from 1 species